rnacentral:rRNA from 1 species
GACGAACGCUGGCGGCGUGCCUAAUACAUGCAAGUCGAACGAGAGCGACCGGUGCUUGCACUGGUCAAUCUAGUGGCGAACGGGUGAGUAACACGUGGGUAACCUGCCCAUCAGAGGGGGAUAACAUCCGGAAACGGAUGCUAAAACCGCAUAGGUCUUCGAGCCGCAUGGCUUGAAGAGGAAAAGAGGCGCAAGCUUCUGCUGAUGGAUGGACCCGCGGUGCAUUAGCUAGUUGGUGAGGUAACGGCUCACCAAGGCCGUGAUGCAUAGCCGACCUGAGAGGGUGAUCGGCCACAUUGGGACUGAGACACGGCCCAAACUCCUACGGGAGGCAGCAGUAGGGAAUCUUCCGCAAUGGACGCAAGUCUGACGGAGCAACGCCGCGUGAGUGAAGAAGGUUUUCGGAUCGUAAAACUCUGUGUUAGAGAAGAACAAGUGCUAGAGUAACUGUUAGCGCCUUGACGGUAUCUAACCAGAAAGCCACGGCUAACUACGUG